GGUUGUUGUUGUGGCGCAAAAAACAAAUGGGGGUGACCUAGGGUUUCUGAUUUGGUUCAAAUUUUUGGGCUUUUUGGGCUGUUCCGGAUUGGGCUUAUUGGGCUAGGAUAUUAAGUUUGGCUUUUGGGUCAUGUAUUGGGCUUUAUAUAUUUUUUGUAUUUUUUUGUUUUGUUUUUGUUUGUUUUGUGUUUACACGGGCCCGGG
rnacentral:lncRNA from 1 species